rnacentral:sRNA from 1 species
UGUUUUACUCUGUUUU